rnacentral:rRNA from 1 species
UACGUAGGGCGCAAGCGUUAUCCGGAAUUAUUGGGCGUAAAGAGCUCGUAGGCGGUUUGUCGCGUCUGCUGUGAAAACUGGGGGCUCAACCCCCAGCCUGCAGUGGGUACGGGCAGACUAGAGUGCGGUAGGGGAGAUUGGAAUUCCUGGUGUAGCGGUGGAAUGCGCAGAUAUCAGGAGGAACACCGAUGGCGAAGGCAGAUCUCUGGGCCGUAACUGACGCUGAGGAGCGAAAGCAUGGGGAGCGAACAGG